UACAGAGGGUGCGAGCGUUAAUCGGAAUACUGGGCGUAAAGCGCGUGUAGGCGGCCCUGCAAGUCGGGUGUGAAAUCCCACGGCUCAACCGUGGAAGUGCACUCGAAACUGCAGGGCUAGAGUCCUGGAGAGGAAGGUGGAAUGCUUGGUGUAGAGAUGAAAUUCGUAGAUAUCAAGCGGAACACCGGUGGCGAAGGCGGCCUUCUGGACAGUGACUGACGCUGAGACGCGAAAGCGUGGGGAGCAAACAGG
rnacentral:rRNA from 1 species